GACGAACGCUGGCGGCGUGCUUAACACAUGCAAGUCGAACGGAAAGGCCCUGCUUUUGUGGGGUGCUCGAGUGGCGAACGGGUGAGUAACACGUGAGUAACCUGCCCUUGACUUUGGGAUAACUUCAGGAAACUGGGGCUAAUACCGGAUAGGAGCUCCUGCUGCAUGGUGAGGGUUGGAAAGUUUCGGCGGUUGGGGGUGGACUCGCGGCUUAUCAGCUUGUGGGUGGGGUAGUGGCUUACCAAGGCUUUGACGGGUAGCCGGCCUGAGAGGGUGACCGGCCACAUUGGGACUGAGAUACGGCCCAGACUCCUACGGGAGGCAGCAGUGGGGAAUAUUGCACAAUGGGCGGAAGCCUGAUGCAGCAACGCCGCGUGCGGGAUGACGGCCUUCGGGUUGUAAACCGCUUUCGCCUGUGACGAAGCGUGAGCGACGGUAAUGGGUAAAGAAGCACCGGCUAACUACGUG
rnacentral:rRNA from 1 species